rnacentral:rRNA from 1 species
AUGGAAUUUGCAGGCUUAUUAGACAACCCUUCUUCUGGAUUGUCCUACUUUUUUGUCACGGUGGAGUGUACCAGGUAUCAUGAAGAUUCUAAGGUGCAUGUGUAUAUGCUGCAAAAUGGUGAUGAUGCCUGGCGCAAGCAUCUUACCUUGGCCUCGGACCUCCUCCUGUAUCCACGCAAAAGCCCCAAAGGCGUGCUCGUUCACAACAAAUUCUAUCUGCCGACCGACAAUGAAAUUGUUGUCCUGGAUUUGGUGUCCUCAAGCUUAUCGACAAUUCAGCUCCCACAAGGGGUGGGUUUUAGUCCAAUAGGCACCACCAUGUUGUCACGGGCUGAUGAUGCUUCUGGUGUGUAUCUCAUCCAUAUCAAGGACCUUCAACUUAGCAUCUGGCUCCACAAUGGGGACAACUGGUUGCUGGUGGACACCAUUUGCUUGUGUGAAAUAUCUGAUAAUUUGCUUGACGAUGAGCCUACUGACGAUAUCCUGAUAAACCAUGUGGGGGACUAUAAUGAGUUUUUAUUCUUGGAGCUGGGUCGAUGCGCACUCUACUUGGAUGUCAAACGCAGGACGCUGCGUAAAGUGUAUGAGAUGACAGCAGAGGAGCAACAAUUGGGUGAUAUCUAUCCUCUUAUGAUGAGCUGGCUUCCCAAUUUCCCUGCACUCAUGGAUAGUCCUGCAAGAGGCGACACUAGUGAAAGCUUGAUGUAA